rnacentral:lncRNA from 1 species
ACCCCUGUGAUGGAAAAUAUCAGCAACGGCUAUUUUUUUGCCCGUUUUAAUUGCCUUUUAUGCUUCCUAAAAUUGCUCUAACGGCUCUUUAUCUGCCUAAAUUAUUUUCUCUUGCUUCUAAUGCAAUAAAAUGCUUCAAAUGGUGAAAGAAAUUAUAGAUUAAAUAGCAGAUCAAACGUGAGAUCAAAAUCAAGAGAGAGGAUCCAAAAUCUGCACGAAAAAGCCUGAGAUCAACGAGAUAUUUGAGAGAAAAAGAAAAGAGGAUCCAAAAUCCACACGUGAGAUUGUGAAAGAGACUCAAAAGCUUUCAAAGAGAGGAUUUGUCACGCCUACUGUUUCAACUUUGAUCUAGAGAUCGUUCAAAGCUUUCAAGAGAUCUUCAAUCAACGAUCAUCUUCUUCUCAAGUGUUCAUUCAAGCGUUCAUCCACCUUGAGAAAAUCCAAAAAGGGUUUCUUCAUUUGAGUAAAGUUUUUAUUGUUAUAUUCGCUCAUUUAAAGAGCUGUUAUUGUAUUAAUCUGUGCUCUAAAUUAUCUUACUCUUGUAAGUAAUUGUUCUUGUUUUUGGAGGAUUUCCAAAACAAGGAAAGGUUGAUCCGAACCUGAAAUCGGAGUAUUUUGGGUUUACUUGUACCCGAGAAACAAGUGAUCUAGCUUGGGAUAGCUAGUGUCGGAGUUUUCGAUGUUUUGUAUUCAGGUUGAAUACAAGCAUAGUGGAUUGAAAUUCCCAAGUAGGAGCUUGGG